GCCUAACACAUGCAAGUCGAACGUGAAAGCUCCUUCGGGAGUGAGUAGAGUGGCGAACGGGUGAGUAACGCGUAGGAAUCUACCCAAGAGUGGGGGACAACCCGGAGAAAUCCGGGCUAAUACCGCAUACGCCCUACGGGGUAAAGUGGGGGACCUUUCGGGGCCUCAUGCUUUUGGAUGAGCCUGCGUCGGAUUAGCUUGUUGGUAGGGUAACGGCCUACCAAGGCGACGAUCCGUAGCUGGUCUGAGAGGAUGACCAGCCACACUGGGACUGAGACACGGCCCAGACUCCUACGGGAGGCAGCAGUGGGGAAUAUUGGACAAUGGGGGCAACCCUGAUCCAGCCAUGCCGCGUGUGUGAAGAAGGCCUUCGGGUUGUAAAGCACUUUCAGUAGGGAAGAAAAGCCUGAGGCUAAUAUCCUCGGGUCAUGACGGUACCUACAGAAGAAGCACCGGCUAAUUCCGUGCCAGCAGCCGCGGUAAUACGGAAGGUGCAAGCGUUAAUCGGAAUCACUGGGCGUAAAGCGCGCGUAGGCGGUCAGAUAAGUCGGGUGUGAAAGCCCCGGGCUCAACCUGGGAACUGCAUUCGAUACUGUCUGACUAGAGUGUGGUAGAGGGAGGCGGAAUUCCGCAUGUAGCGGUGAAAUGCGUAGAGAUGCGGAGGAACACCAAUGGCGAAGGCAGCCUCCUGGACUAACACUGACGCUGAGGUGCGAAAGCGUGGGG
rnacentral:rRNA from 1 species